CCUACGGUGGGCAGCAGUGAGGAAUAUUGGUCAAUGGGCGGGAGCCUGAACCAGCCAAGUCGCGUGAGGGAAGACGGUCCUAUGGAUUGUAAACCUCUUUAGGCGGGGAGCAAUGCCGGGCACGCGUGCCCGGAGGGAGAGUACCCGCAGAAUAAGCAUCGGCUAACUCCGUGCCAGCAGCCGCGGUAAUACGGAGGAUGCGAGCGUUGUCCGGAAUCAUUGGGCGUAAAGAGUUCGUAGGCGGCAUGUAAAGUCAGGUGUUAAAGGCGCAGGCUCAACCUGUGUAUGGCACUUGAUACUUGCAAGCUGGAAUGCGGUAGAGGUAAAGGGAAUUCCUGGUGUAGCGGUGAAAUGCUUAGAUAUCAGGAGGAACUUCGGUGGCGUAAGCUCUUUACUGGGCCGUAAUUGACGCUGAGGAACGAAAGCCAGGGUAGCAAAUGGGAUUAGAUACCCCUGUAGUC
rnacentral:rRNA from 1 species